CUCCUGAUCUCAGCUGAUCCUCGCACCUCGACCUCCCAAAGUGCUGGCAUUACAGCCAGGGUCACCCUACUCCUGUGAGAAGGGGACGCCAGAAGCUGGAAUCUCACCUGGGAGGUCCCCACCCUCUGAUGAAACGCACAGAGUUGCACCAAGGACGUCCGGGAACAGGCAAAUCUAAGCCCUUGCUCCUGAAGCAAUUCCCGGUUCUUCCGCCCUGAAUAACUCAGCAUCUUGGAGGUUGCCAAGAACCAUUGGUCAGCGAAGGUGUGGGCCAGCUGUCACAGGACAAAGAGCUCUGCCUUCACACUUCUCUAAACUUUUGCAGGAGCAGAAGAAAAUGAACACAUCCCUGGUAAAUUAUUUACUCAUUCAAUUUUUCCAGUGAAACUUAAGAGCUACUUUACCUUUUUAGUAACCAUGCUUUUUUGACCAUUUUUUCUUCAUUUUUUUACUUCCUGACUUUUUUCCUGCAUUAUUUUACUUUCUUUUUCUCUCUUCCAGUGGUUUUGAAAGUCUACAUUUUAUUUUUAUUCUAUAAUUGAUUAUCAUUGAUUACUGUUGAUGUGUUUAACAUAUUUUUCUAUCAACAUCAGAAUUUUUUUCAUCGAUAAUAUACCUAAACAAGAUACACUCUUCUGUCUUCUCAGGUUUUGUGGAAAUCAUUUAAAUACUUUUCUUUUUCAUCUUCUUUUUAUAUGAUAAAUAUUUUUUGAAUCCUCUGCUAAUUAUUGCAUCAUGCCUUCCAGCUACUAGAACAUUAAUAAUUUGUAUUAGAAUAUAUAUUUUCUGUUUUUUUGUUUUGUUUUGUUUUGUUUUGUUUUUGAGAUGGAGUUUCGCUCUUGUUGC